rnacentral:rRNA from 1 species
GAGAGAGACAUGCGCGCAUAUCAAUAAGCGGAGGAAAAGAAACUAACAAGGAUUCCCCUAGUAACGGCGAGUGAAGCGGGAAGAGCUCAAAUUUGAAAUCUUAAAGGGUUUCCCUUUACGAAUUGUAGUUUAAAGAAGUGUUUUCUGUUGAGGUUUUGGUAAAAGUUCUUUGGAAUAGGACAUCAUAGAGGGUGAGAAUCCCGUAUUUGACCUUUACUUUCAACUUUGUGAUACACUUUCAAAGAGUCGGAUUGUUUGGGAAUGCAGUCCAAAAUGGGUGGUAAAUUUCAUCUAAAGCUAAAUAUUGGCGAGAGACCGAUAGCGAACAAGUACCGUGAGGGAAAGAUGAAAAGAACUUUGAAAAGAGAGUUAAACAGUACGUGAAAUUGUCAAAAGGGAAGCGUUUGACACCAGUGUUGUUUUUCUGAAAAUCAAUUAAAGAACUGUUUAUGCUAAGCUGUUUAGACUUUAUCAGCUAAUCUGUUUAGUUUUGAGCUUUUCUUUAAUGCACUUUUCAGUUAACAAGUCAACAUCAAUUUCUUUUGCUGUAAAAAAGCUUGAGGAAGGUGGCUUGAGAUUCGUCUUAAGUGUUUAUAGCCUCUUGCCUAUGCAGUCGGAGAGAUUGAGGUCUGCAGCGUAGAUCCUCCGGGGCUAAAUGCAUUUGUGCUAAGUUAUAACAUUUUAUAGACAACUUGUUGACUAUGAUUUGUCUUGUAGCUUACUCGCUUAUGUUAUUUUACCUACGCUUAGGAUGUUGACGCAUGAGAUAUACGC